GACAGAGACUGGCACACACAGGGUGGUCAAGGAAUAAGGAUGAAUGUGACUAUCAGUCUCUAGCAAGAAGUACAUAGGUUUCCCAGGAAGCAGAUAACUGUCUCUAAAGUUAUAAAUGCAGUACAUCAGGGAUGCAAGUUGAGGAAAAGAUAUACUAACCAAG